rnacentral:rRNA from 1 species
GCGGCGGACGGGUGAGUAACACGUGGGCAACCUGCCUGCAAGACCGGGAUAACUGCGGGAAACCGGAGCUAAUACCGGAUAAGAGGCUUUUCCGCAUGGGGGAGCCUUAAAAGGCGGCGGAAGUCGUCACUUGCAGAUGGGCCCGCGGCGCAUUAGCUAGUUGGUGAGGGAAGGGCUCACCAAGGCGACGAUGCGUAGCCGACCUGAGAGGGUGACCGGCCACACUGGGACUGAGACACGGCCCAGACUCCUACGGGAGGCAGCAGUAGGGAAUUUUCGGCAAUGGGGGGAACCCUGACCGAGCAACGCCGCGUGAGCGAGGACGGCCUUCGGGUUGUAAAGCUCUGUCAUGUGGGAAGAACGGCUAGGAGAGGGCAUGCUCUUAGCGUGACGGUACCACAGGAGGAAGCCCCGGCUAACUACGUGCCAGCAGCCGCGGUAACAC